UACGUAGGGGGCAAGCGUUGUCCGGAAUCAUUGGGCGUAAAGAGCGUGUAGGCGGCCAGAUAAGUCCGCUGUGAAAUCUCGAGGCUCAACUUCGAGCUGUCGGUGGAAACUGUCUGGCUAGAGUCCGGAAGAGGCGAGUGGAAUUCCUGGUGUAGCGGUGAAAUGCGCAGAUAUCAGGAGGAACACCAAUGGCGAAGGCAGCACUCUGGGACGUGACUGACGCUGAGACGCGAAAGCGUGGGGAGCAAACAGGG
rnacentral:rRNA from 1 species